rnacentral:lncRNA from 1 species
CUGGGUUUUCCUCUUUAUCCGCCAAGCUAAGUAAAUAUUUUGGCUUAGUUGAAAAUCCGGAAUCAGUUCCAGUUACUGUGGAUACAGAUUCGAUAAGGGAAUCUGCCGAAGAUGCUACAGAAAAGGAUGAAAGACCUUUGUUACUUGACCCUGGGCUCCCGGUAAACACGAAUUCAGAUGAUGGAGAGAGGUCGCCAACUGAGAAUGAUAUUGAGACCACCUUGGAAUCUCAGAGUAUAUUGGUGUUAGUGUCAAAGAGGAAUGCUUUCAAUGGGAUGAUGUGUGACCAAAGUCAUUUUUCGCACAUAAAGUUUUACAAGCACUUUGAUGUUCGCUUGGAUAGAUUCCUGCGAGAUAUGUUCAUUCAGGUUUUACUCUUGUUCUUUGUCAUUUUCUUUUUUUUUAAAUGCUGUUUUGUUCUUUUGUCAAGGUUAAUCUGUGUUCCUUAUGUUAAUAAGCUUUACAACAUUUAUGGCAAGUUUUUUAAGGCAACUGUUUAUGGUGCAGAGAAGCCAGUGCCGAACGUGCGGUGAAACUCCGGAAGCACAUCUUUACUAUUAUGCUCAUCAAAACAAGCAACUAACAAUCCAAAUCAAGCGAAUUUCUGUGCCAAAAUGUUUGCCUGGUGAGGCAAAAGGAAAAAUCUGGAUGUGGAGUCGUUGUGGAAAGUGUAAGACAAAGAAUGGGACCCGGAAAUCUACCAAACGAGUGCUGAUAUCGACUGCUGCUCGUAGCUUGUCAUUUGGAAAAUUCCUGGAGCUCAGCUUUACUCAGCCAACUUUUCUGAAUAGAUUGUGUAGCUGCGGCCACUCUUUGGACAAGGACUUUCUUCACUUCUUUGGGUAUGUUUUUGCUCUAUUUUGCUCAACCUGGAGCUUCACAUAUUCUAAUCAAGUACUAAAGUAAAGUUUUGAGUUACUCUAUUUAUAUGGGCUUCCGAAAUAUUCGCAUUCACAUAUUCUAGGUUAGUUUAUACCUACUUUUCUUGUUUUAAGGCGUAGUUAGUUCUCUUGAAGGUCCCUUGGUUCUAGUGUUGAGACGUAAAAAACAUGGAUGAUGGUUUGAGAGCCGUUAUUGUCUCUAGUAAUAUAUGAUAAAUCUUACGACAUGUUAACAACCUGCAGGUUAGGCUCCAUGGUUGCUAUGCUCAGUUACUCCCAAGUCACAUCUUACACAGUGUCUCUGCCACCCAUGAUGCUGGAGCCAAGCAUUUUUAUAAAAGUGGGUUGGCUUGAAAAAGAAUUCCAUGGAGUAAGUUUAUUUUCUUCUGCACCUGGUAUAUUCAUAUGCAUUGUGUUAGCAACAAAGAUUAUCUCUUGCUUGGGGCGAGGGCUGGCCUUUAAUUGCACAAUGAUUUUUGCUGAUUGUUUCUGUUUACCUGUUCAGGUAUUCACUAAAGGUAUCUCCUUGUUCGAGGACGCUACUAGUUUUCUGAAGAGACUAAGAUCACAGUUCACAAAUUCAGAUCUCAGCUACCAGUGUGCACUAAAAUUGUUGUCAAACGUCGACGAGUUACUGAAUCACGAGCGCCGCCUAUUUCAGGUUAGCAUUGCAACAAUUGCAUUCAGUAUACAAUAUCUUUGUAGUUCAUGACAGAAGCUUACUAAUACCUUUUCAUCCAUUUCUUGGGCAUUAUUGGCUAAAAAUAGGAAAACAUCAAGAUGUCUUUUGAGAAUGCUAAAACCAUGGAUGAUGUUUCCCACAAACUGCUCCGCUUAAACCGCAUGAGGUGGGAACUUUUGUUCCAAGCUCUCACCUGGAACUACCGAUUGCAGUCACUGGUUUUAUCUAAUCGUUUGCUACCUUCAAGUGGUGAGAAGAAGAUAAAUGAAGGUGUAGAGACCAAUCUUGAGGCUGGAUUGACAAGAUAUGAAAAUAAGGACAAAGUUUCUGAUUCUGGUAGCAAUGAAGGCAUGGACGAACCACUUGUUGAAGACAAGGAAAUUCCAAUUGUGGGUGCAUCUGUUGGGGAGAUGGAAGAAUCUGAAGAUAAUGAAUUGCAAACUCUGUCCAGCCCCGGGCCUGAUACAACCUCUCCCAUCAACGAUCAUUUUUACACUCACUUGGCUGUUAAUAUCCAUUCAGCCAAUGAACAAGAAUUAAUUCCAGAUAGUGGAGAUCCACCGGAUGGGAAGGUUGCUGCCUCUAAUGGGCCACACAUCUUAGGCUGGGAUGAGUGGUUCUGGUUGCCAUUUGAAGAUCUACGAUCAAAGCCUAUUGUCGAUGUGGAGAAGGAAUACUUGUUGAAAUUUGAGUAUGUUAACAGUUUCACCCAAGAUAACCUGCAUGCGGUGAACCAAAUAAUCACUGAGGAAGGUUCUCGUCUGCGGAUCUCAUUGAGGGAUGAAGAUUUUAUCGUGUCAGACUAUGAAGACGAGGUCUCGAGCCUAAUAGCUUGCGCGCUUGCCCAUCUGAGCAAUGCUGAUAACAGAUUGCCUCUUUCAAGGUGCAUUCAUGGAUCACUCGAAGGGUUCCUGGAUAAAGAUCAAGAUUCUAAGCAAACUGUUGACCGUGAGGUUUCUCGUUUCGCGAGUGAGAGUACGAGUCGGUUGGAAAUACCACCUCCAGAGGUCCUUGUUACUUUUGGGUCACUCAAAUCAGUGGGAAAACCCAAAUACUCUAUUGUGUGCCUAUAUGCAGAUGAUUUCCGUGACCUCAGAAAGCGUUGUUGCUCCUCAGAGCUUGACUAUAUUGCUUCGCUUAGCCGUUGUAAGCCAUGGGACGCUAAGGGAGGGAAGAGCAAAUCAGUGUUCGCUAAGACUUUGGAUGAUAGGUUCAUUGUAAAAGAGAUCAAGAAGACAGAGUACGAAUCAUUUGUGACGUUUGCUCCGGAAUAUUUCAAGUACAUGAAGGACUCGUAUGAUCUAGGCAACCAGACUUGUCUAGCCAAAGUUCUUGGGAUCUAUCAGGUAAUAAUGUCUUUAGAAUCAUCUCUUGACCAUUCUACCAUUAGCAUUUUGCCUAAAUCGGUAAAGAAACGGAUAGGACUUUAUUUUGAAGGAGCUUCGAUUGCUAUUUUUACAGGUAACUGUAAGGCAGCCAAAGAGCGGUAAAGAGAUAAGGCACGACCUGAUGGUAAUGGAGAAUCUCAGUUUUGGCAGAAAAAUUACUCGCCAAUACGAUCUCAAAGGCGCUCUACACGCUCGGUUUACGGCUACUUCUGCUAAUGGCGCGGAAGAUGUUCUGUUGGAUCAGAACUUCGUCAACGACAUGAACAAAUCCCCUCUUUACGUUAGCAAGACAUACCAUAUGGUUUGAUGAUUUUGUUUUGCUAGGCGAGUGUUCUGUUGAUGGAAACUCUUAUGAAAGGUAAGGCUGGUACAUACAUGUUGCUAGGAUUUUGAUUAAUCAAAGAUUAUUGAUAUAUACUUUGUUCUGUCUAUGUCAGGGGUAAUGAAGAUGAGUGUUCGAGCCAUGGUAGUCAAGAAGAUGUGGACUCCCCCCUAAAGGAUAAGAAGGUCGAUCGCCAAUAUACCUUAGAGCGCAAGUCCAAGAGCAUGCCCAGUGACAUCCAGAGAGACAUUUAUAUUUUGGGUGAAAAAUCUAAAGACAACGGUGUUGAAAGUGUUCAAUUCCUAUCUGAUCGUGAAGAUGAUGGUGCUGAAAUGGAUGCCCCCCCUAUUUGGGAACCCCCGGAGCCACUAGACCCAGAAGAUGAACUAGAAGAUGCUGCUGCUGAUGAAUGUUGUGAUGGCUCUAAACGGGCCAGAUCAUCUUCUUUAGGGGAAUCUAAAGAUGGAAGUAGUAACCAGAGAAAGUUCAAUGAAGAAAAUCGAAGAGCAAUGCUUGCGGUGGCAAACUCAAAGUUUAACUUCAUUGUGAGUCAGCUUAUUCAGUCGGCUGGGUUUUCAUUGGAAGAAGGUGAAAGUUGGAGUGCGAUAGUUGCUAGGUUAUGCUGGGAGGCUGCUUCACUAUUAAAGCCAGAUAUUGAUGGCAAACCAGUUGAUCCGGCUGAGUACAUCAAAGUGAAAUGCAUAGCAACUGGUUCUUGCAAUGAAAGGUAUUACAACUUACCCAUUGAUUGCCUAUACGUUGCAUAUGAUUUUUAUUCCAUUUCCCUCUACCGUACUCUCCUAAUGAUUUGUUCAUCUCUGCAGUGAAGUUUUUAAAGGCCUUGUUUUCAAAAAACAUGCUGCUCUUAAACAAAUGCCUACCAAGUAUGAGCAUCCUAGAAUAAUGUUAGUCGAAGGAGUACUGGGCCAGCCAUUAAGUGGUUUUUCUUCUCUCCAGUCAAUGGAUAAGGUGGGGAGCACAGUAACUUGGCGAUCACCAAUUCACCAUUUUGAAAGCUUUCAUUUGGUAAUAUCUGAUUUCUUUUUGUUUGGUUUUUGCCAACAGGACAAAGAUGUUUAUGUGAAGCCUGUUGUUGAUAUCAUAACCGCGUUGAAGCCUGACAUCAUGCUGGUGGAAAAAUCUGUUUCGCGUGAUAUCCAAUUGUCUAUUAAUGAACAAAAGGUCACUCUGGUGCUUGACAUGAAGCUCCACCGUUUACAGCGAAUUUCUCGAUGCAUAGGUUCACCAAUCAUUCCAUUGGAAUCUCUGUCUAGUCAGACGUUAAAGCACUGUGAUUCCUUUCGCAUUGAGAAAAUUGUGGAGGAGCAUAAUGCUGUGGGCGAAGCUGAGAAGAAGCCAACUAAAACGCUGAUGUUCUUAGAAGGUUGUCCUACCCGCCUUGGCUGCACGGUGAGUGCUUGAUUGAUAUUGGAUUAUGAUAAGUCGUUGAUGGUAUCAUUACUUGAGUAACACAUCAAUACAUCAUAUAACUGCCUAGUUUCCACUGGAUAAAACAUCAAAUCUUUCAAAAUUUGAAAUUGUGACAUUCACCUUGGACUUUCUUGCAGUGUACCCCUGAUUAUCUGAUUUUGACAUUGUGGUAUGUGACAGAUUUUACUUAAAGGAAGCCACAGUGAAAGGUUGAAAAAGGUCAAAGAAGUAGUACAAGAUUCAUUUAACCUUGCAUAUCAUCUAAUCUUGGAGGCUUCCUUCCUUGCUGAUCGGCAAACAAUGUUCUCAACCAUCUUUCCAAAGGAAGCUACAUCAUGUGUUAUGGAAACAGAAAAAGUUCCACUAUCUCCUUCUCCUGGAAAAUCUUCACUUGAAGCAAUUGAUAUUCCCUUUUCUAAUGGAUUCGAUGAACGAUCUAUUCAGAUAAAUGGGGAAUCAGAUGGUGAGAAAGCUGAAAACUGGGAUUCUGGUGGAGAUCAUGUCUUCUCUCACGAGCCAUAUAAUCCAGUUAUUUUUACUGGGUUUUCCUCUUUAUCCGCCAAGCUAAGUAAAUAUUUUGGCUUAGUUGAAAAUCCGGAAUCAGUUCCAGUUACUGUGGAUACAGAUUCGAUAAGGGAAUCUGCCGAAGAUGCUACAGAAAAGGAUGAAAGACCUUUGUUACUUGACCCUGGGCUCCCGGUAAACACGAAUUCAGAUGAUGGAGAGAGGUCGCCAACUGAGAAUGAUAUUGAGACCACCUUGGAAUCUCAGAGUAUAUUGGUGUUAGUGUCAAAGAGGAAUGCUUUCAAUGGGAUGAUGUGUGACCAAAGUCAUUUUUCGCACAUAAAGUUUUAC